rnacentral:rRNA from 1 species
AUUGAACGCUGGCGGCAUGCCUUACACAUGCAAGUCGAACGGUAACAGGUCUUCGGAUGCUGACGAGUGGCGAACGGGUGAGUAAUACAUCGGAACGUGCCCGAUCGUGGGGGAUAACGGAGCGAAAGCUUUGCUAAUACCGCAUACGAUCUACGGAUGCAAGCAGGGGACCGCAAGGCCUUGCGCGGACGGAGCGGCCGAUGGCAGAUUAGGUAGUUGGUGGGAUAAAAGCUUACCAAGCCGACGAUCUGUAGCUGGUCUGAGAGGACGACCAGCCACACUGGGACUGAGACACGGCCCAGACUCCUACGGGAGGCAGCAGUGGGGAAUUUUGGACAAUGGGCGAAAGCCUGAUCCAGCCAUGCCGCGUGCAGGAUGAAGGCCUUCGGGUUGUAAACUGCUUUUGUACGGAACGAAAAGACUCUUUCUAAUAAAGAGGGUCCAUGACGGUACCGUAAGAAUAAGCACCGGCUAACUACGUG